CAAUCCAUGUUUUAUUCUUAUUUGCAUGUCCAAUGAUCAGCCCUUUGAGAAGAUCCCAAUCUGAUGGGGAAAAAUAUCAAACUCUCAAUAAUAUAUGGCAGGCAUCCAUACUAGCAUUAACAAUUAUUAGCAAUAAUAACCAUAAAAUCAAUAACGCUGUUAUUAUAUCACAUAGUGUGGACUCAGGGAGACACAGAAAACACUCUAGGGAAAAGAGAGGAAAAAAUAAUUCCAACUCUGGGUAUCAGGGAGAAGUUUUUGAAGGAAGGAUAUAAAACACCAUCUUUCCUUACCUGUUAUGUUUACUGCUGCUGUGUAGCACGCUCACUAGGAUGUCAGCUUCAUGAAGGCAGGACCUUGUUGAUUUUGUCAAAUCUUUAUUGCGAGUGCUUGAAACAGAGCCUGGAACAUCAUAGGUUCUCAAGAAAUCCUUGUGAAAUAAAGAAGGAAGUGUUCCCACCCAUCUCCUAAGGAUUCCCUCUGCCCUACAGGCAGCAAGAAGUUCCUUUCAAGAGAAACUAGCCCAUCUUUCAGAGGGGAAUCUGGCAUCCUUGUCUGAGAAGGCAACUUUCAAGCUGAUAAUUGAAUGAUAAGAUUGAGUUAAGGAGAGCAGCCUGUUCUUCCACGGAUUCCUUGUCCUCGCUCUAUGGCCUUCAGGUGGAAUCAGUCUUGUGGAUUGAAUUGGAAGAAAUUCAUUCAUCAUGUUAAUCCGAGCUAAAAAUACUAAAAGAUUCCAAGCAAACUUUGGGAAGCAGGACCUGAACCUCCAAGCUUCAGUGAGUGCUCUGCUCUUUGCCAGGCUUUGGGUGCCCUCUGCAGCCAUGUGAGCCUCUGUCUCUACCACCAGCACUGCCCUAGGCCUGCAGCCCAGGGAGGGGUCUCCCUGCAGCUGUAGCUCUGCAGCCACAGGCUGCACUGCCUGUUUCCCUGGGUGGAGGAGAUGGUAAUAGAGCAGUGGAGAGGGCCUAUGAGCUUGGACAAACUAGUUACAGAUGCCCCAGGGCAGCAGCCUGCUGCAACAGAAAGGCCUCCAGCUUAGGAACGUGUGAGCCAAUAUUCAUUUAGCACCUGCUAUGAGUCAAAUACCCAUUCACUCAUUCAUUCACUAAUCAAAUUUUGAUUAAAGGCCUCCCAGGUGCCAGGGCACUGGAAUGCAGAAGAGGAAAGCAAGCCGAAAAACAAAAACAAAUUCCUGCCUUCACGAAGUUGAUAGUCUAGCGAGGAAAGACAAUAAAUAAGAUAAAUAAGUAAAACAGCCAGUAGGUUAGAUAGUGGUAAUUGCUGAGGAGAAGAUAUGAAGCAGGACGAGGGCUAUGAAGGUUCCCGGUAGGGGUGGGAGCAGGGGAGCUUAAGAUCAAGUGUCUAUGGAAAGCCUGGCUAAGAAGGCAACGUUGCAAUACGGACCCUCAGG
rnacentral:lncRNA from 1 species